CUAUGCGCCUUGCCAGCCCGCUCAGUCAGAGUUUGAUCCUGGCUCAGGACGAACGCUGGCGGCGUGCUUAACACAUGCAAGUCAGGGGGCCAGCAAUGGUCACCGGCGAACGGGUGCGUAACACGUGAGCGACCUGCCCUGGAAUGGGGGGAUAGCCGGCCCAACGGCCGGGUAAUACCGCAUACGACCGCUGCCCCGCAUGAGGCGGCGGUGAAACCAUUUGGGUUCCGGGAGGGGCUCGCGGCCUAUCAGCUAGUUGGCGAGGUAACGGCUCACCAAGCGAUGACGGGUAGCUGGUCUGAGAGGAUGGCCAGCCACAUUGGGACUGAGAGACGGCCCAG
rnacentral:rRNA from 1 species